GAUGAACGCUAGCGACAGGCUUAACACAUGCAAGUCGAGGGGCAGCACAGGUAGCAAUACCGGGUGGCGACCGGCGCACGGGUGAGUAACGCGUAUGCAACUUGCCUAUCAGAGGGGGAUAACCCGGCGAAAGUCGGACUAAUACCGCAUGAAGCAGGGAUCCCGCAUGGGAAUAUUUGCUAAAGAUUCAUCGCUGAUAGAUAGGCAUGCGUUCCAUUAGGCAGUUGGCGGGGUAACGGCCCACCAAACCGACGAUGGAUAGGGGUUCUGAGAGGAAGGUCCCCCACAUUGGUACUGAGACACGGACCAAACUCCUACGGGAGGCAGCAGUGAGGAAUAUUGGUCAAUGGCCGAGAGGCUGAACCAGCCAAGUCGCGUGAGGGAUGAAGGUUCUAUGGAUCGUAAACCUCUUUUAUAAGGGAAUAAAGUGCGGGACGUGUCCCGUUUUGUAUGUACCUUAUGAAUAAGGAUCGGCUAACUCCGUGCCAGCAGCCGCGGUAAUACGGAGGAUCCGAGCGUUAUCCGGAUUUAUUGGGUUUAAAGGGUGCGUAGGCGGCCUUUUAAGUCAGCGGUGAAAGUCUGUGGCUCAACCAUAGAAUUGCCGUUGAAACUGGGGGGCUUGAGUAUGUUUGAGGCAGGCGGAAUGCGUGGUGUAGCGGUGAAAUGCAUAGAUAUCACGCAGAACCCCGAUUGCGAAGGCAGCCUGCCAAGCCAUUACUGACGCUGAUGCACGAAAGCGUGGGGAUCAAACAGGAUUAGAUACCCUGGUAGUCCACGCAGUAAACGAUGAUCACUAGCUGUUUGCGAUACACUGUAAGCGGCACAGCGAAAGCGUUAAGUGAUCCACCUGGGGAGUACGCCGGCAACGGUGAAACUCAAAGGAAUUGACGGGGGCCCGCACAAGCGGAGGAACAUGUGGUUUAAUUCGAUGAUACGCGAGGAACCUUACCCGGGUUUGAACGCAUUCGGACCGAGGUGGAAACACCUUUUCUAGCAAUAGCCGUUUGCGAGGUGCUGCAUGGUUGUCGUCAGCUCGUGCCGUGAGGUGUCGGCUUAAGUGCCAUAACGAGCGCAACCCUUGCCACUAGUUACUAACAGGUGAUGCUGAGGACUCUGGUGGGACUGCCAGCGUAAGCUGCGAGGAAGGCGGGGAUGACGUCAAAUCAGCACGGCCCUUACAUCCGGGGCGACACACGUGUUACAAUGGCGUGGACAAAGGGAGGCCACCUGGCGACAGGGAGCGAAUCCCCAAACCACGUCUCAGUUCGGAUCGGAGUCUGCAACCCGACUCCGUGAAGCUGGAUUCGCUAGUAAUCGCGCAUCAGCCAUGGCGCGGUGAAUACGUUCCCGGGCCU
rnacentral:rRNA from 1 species